rnacentral:rRNA from 1 species
GACGAACGCUGGCGGCGUGCUUAACACAUGCAAGUCGAGCGGAGCGGCGAACGGGUGAGUAACGCGGGAGUAACUGCCACCCUCUCUGGGAUAACAGUUAGAAACGGCUGCUAAUACCGGAUAGUGGGGGAUGACUCGCGUCCUAUCGGCUUGUUGGGGGGGUAGUGUCCUACCAAGGCGACGACGGGUAGCCGGCCUGAGAGGAUGAUCAGUCACACUGGACUGAGGAAAGGUCCAGAAGCCUACGGGAGGAAGCAGUGGGGAAGAAUGGACAAUGGGCGAAGGCCUGAUCCUGCCAUGCCGCGGGGGUGAAGAAGGUCUUCGGAUUGUAAUGAACUUUAAGUUGGGAGGCAGGAAGUUAAUAACUUGCUGUUUUGACGUUACCAACAGAAUAAGAACCGGCGAAUAACGUGCCGGCAGCAGCCGCGGUAAUUC